rnacentral:rRNA from 1 species
GGCCAGACUCCUACGGGAGGCAGCAGUGAGGAAUAUUGGUCAAUGGCCGAGAGGCUGAACCAGCCAAGUCGCGUGAGGGAUGACGGCCCUACGGGUUGUAAACCUCUUUUGCCGGGGAGCAAAGAGCGGGACGCGUCCCGCCUCGAGAGUACCCGGAGAAAAAGCAUCGGCUAACUCCGUGCCAGCAGCCGCGGUAAUACGGAGGAUGCGAGCGUUAUCCGGAUUUAUUGGGUUUAAAGGGUGCGCAGGCGGGAGAUCAAGUCAGCGGUAAAAUGUCGGGGCUCAACCCCGGCCGGCCGUUGAAACUGGUUUUCUAGAGUUGGAGAGAAGUAUGCGGAAUUCGUGGUGUAGCGGUGAAAUGCAUAGAUAUCACGCAGAACUCCGAUUGCGAAGGCAGCAUACCGGCGCCCGACUGACGCUGAAGCACGAAAGCGUGGGUAUCGAACAGGAUUAGAUACCCGAGUA